GACAUUUAAUGUAUCAUUUAUUUUUUCAGAUCAUUGUUAAAAAUAAUCAAUAGAAUCAUAUUAUCCUCCAAACUAGUGUACAGAAUAUAAAACUGUACUAAAAUAAAAAAAAAAAGUCUUUAUAUUGCCUGUUUAUCGUAAAAAAAAUCUACUGUUUAUGCAUGAAGAUAAGAUAAUGAACUCAAGUGUCCUAGCUACUUAAGUUUUAAUGAAAAUCUCAAUUUUACAUCAGUCAAGAAAAGGUGCUAACCUACUUUAAAAUUGUACCACUCUGCCCUUAAUCCUUGCUAGGACACUGAAAUUGUUCAGCAUUAAAUCCUAAUUCAAAUUAAAUGAAUUUAUACAAACAUUUAGGAAAUUAUCAACUAAAAUUUUGUAAUGGAAAAGGUAAAAAAUAAAGUCCCUGUAAAGGCACCAUCAUAAGAAAUAAAACAGAUAUGUAGAUAUCCGAAAAUUGUUAUACAAAGUAACUUUCAACUAGUACUACUCCUGUAAAAUACAUUUACACAAAAAUGUCUUUAAAGAAAUUGGAUAUCUUGCAUUUAUCAUACUUUUAAAUAAAAUGUGGUCAAUUCACUGAAAGACACCCUCCUAAAUUAUUAAAAUAAACAGCUGCACCAUGAGCCCAUGAUACGCCCAUCGUCUUGUGUAGAAGUUUUAUGCAAAAUCAUAAAUGGUUUCUGCGAAAGUUUUAAGCAAUAACCAUUUAUUAUUUUUGAGAUACGGCAGGACAUGUGAAACCCCUUUUUUGUUUUUUUGGUUUUUUUUAACAAAAAACUAAAUAUCACUAAAAUAAAAUUUUGAAUCAAAACCAAAAAGUAUACAGAUCUUGAGAUUAAUAUAACAAAGAAGUGUGUAAAGUUUUAAGCAAUAAUCAUAAAUUGUUUUUGAGAUACGGUGUGACAUGUAAAAAAAAAAACUCCCCCUUUUUUACAAAAUACUGAAUAACUCAAAAAUGAAAUUUUGAAUCAUCACCAAAAAGUAUACAGAUCUUAAGAUUAAUAUAACUUAAAAUGUGUAAAGUUUUAAGCAAUAAUCAAAAAUCGCUUUUGAGAUAAGGUGCAACAUGUGAAAAAAAAACACCCCCCUGUUUUAGUUACAAAGUGCCGUAACUCUAAAAGUUUUAAUCUUAUUUUCACCAAAAAGUAUACAGAUCAUUUAGCCAUCAUAAGAAACAACUAUUUGAAGUUUCAUGAAAUUUAGAUAAGUCGUUCUCAAGUUACGGUGCGACAUGUUUACCCCAGACAGACCGACGGACGAACACUGGACAUUUGUAUACCAUAAUAUUUUGAUGGGUGUAUAAAAACUAACAUUUUGCAUUGACAAUAAUAUCUUUGUGUAAAUUUAUAUUAGAUACACUAAUACAGAUACUGUGUAACUAAUACAUAAGAUUCUUAUAUAUAAAUAUUCAGAUUGAAAAUAAAAUUUUUGUAAAUUUAUUCUUCAUAUUAACUGUUAACAG
rnacentral:lncRNA from 1 species